AAGUCGAACGAGAAAACCUUCGGGUGAGUAAAGUGGCGCACGGGUGAGGAACGCGUAGGUAAUCUACCCUCUGGCGGGGGACAACACUCCGAAAGGAAUGCUAAUACCGCGUAAGACCCCACCUACUACGGUAGGAGAGGUUAUAGGUGCCCUUAAAGCACCACCAGAGGAUGAGCCUGCGUCCCAUCAGCUUGUUGGUGAGGUAAAAGCUUACCAAGGCGAAGACGGGUAGCUGGUCUGAGAGGAUGAUCAGCCACACUGGUACUGGAACACGGACCAGACUCCUACGGGAGGCAGCAGUGAGGAAUAUUGGGCAAUGGGCGAAAGCCUGACCCAGCCACGCCGCGUGUGUGAUGAAGGCCUUCGGGUCGUAAAGCACUGUGGGGAGGGACGAACCUACGCAGGAGGAAAUGCCUGCGUACUGACGGUACCUCCUUAGCAAGCACCGGCUAACUCUGUGCCAGCAGCCGCGGUAAUACAGAGGGUGCAAACGUUGCUCGGAUUUACUGGGCGUAAAGCGCGUGUAGGCGGACUCGCAAGUCGGUUGUGAAAUCCCUGGGCUCAACCUAGGAACUGCAUCCGAAACUGCUUGUCUUGAGU
rnacentral:rRNA from 1 species